rnacentral:lncRNA from 1 species
AGUAUUUUCCUCAGCACUUCACAACUGCCGCAAGGUAUAUCGUUUUAACUUUUUAUUUUUUCGGAUCCCAGACACAGCGGUGCGAGGUAGUUAGCACACAGUUUGGACAUGUAGAAAACAUCGUUUGUUUGUUUGGAACACAUCAGCAGAGAGGUAGAAUUCAUAGCUGUUCAUAAGAGUUUAAUUUAAUCAAACCUCAUUUUACGGAUCUAAGUGGCUCCUCAUCACUAGCCAAUUCACCAUUUUAUUUAAAUAUCUGAAUUUUCGGAAUGAUGAUCCAAGCGGGACACAGAGGCUGUUAGUUUAAUGCACCAGAAUGCAAAUAUAAAUAAAAGUCUGACUAUCCUGACAGCCUAGCUGCAGCGACACCUUUCUUUCACACGGAUGCCUGGAUGUGCGUUGGAGCCGACUUUGCUACCCGCACACAGCGUUUCUGACCUACGGGCGCUGCUUAUACAACAGAGAAAAGCAACAAUACAGCGUGUUUCUCUGCUCCAAGACAUCGGCGGGCCUUUCACACGAAGGAAGGUCACAGCAGGAGCUUUUUCAAACGCGUUUCCAAUCACUUUUACAAGAAGUGUAGCUCAUACAAUGGUAUUAUUGUAUUAUUUGCGAUACUUUAUAAAUAUGAAACUCUAAAGAUUUUGAGUUCAUGCAAAUUGUGAAACAAGAAUCUAAAUAUUUUGUGUCACAAUGAUUUCUAUAAAAGCAUGUUGUUUAUGGGCAUAAUGUAACAAAUCUUUUGUGCGCCCUGUUAAUGAUCAAUGGUGAUUGAAGAGAAAGCUUGAACCCUGGCUCUGGACAUUUUCAUGACAAGUGACAGCGCAGACAUCUACUAAUGAGAGAACAUUUUUUAUCAUCAUAAACACUGUGAUAUGAAGCAUCGUUAAAGUGUCACUUCAGUAAUGUUGACUCAUGUUUUUAAUAGAUGACUUUAAAACACUAAACUCUAAUUUCUGUGGUUUAAGUUUACAGAAUAUAACAUGUGGUAAGACGACGAGUUUUACUUCUCACUGUCCGUGUUAUGUGUAUCUAUUUAUCAUGUAUGCUACUUUGCUCUGUGGACUGUAAAAUGUUUCAUUGUGUUCAUGAAAUAAACCAGACUUUCACCGUCUGAAUCUUUUACUGUUUUUCUGCUUUUGUUCACUCCAAGUUUGACAAACCCACAGACAUCCAGAGUUAACUCACUAACAAUGUGGAGCAGUCUCAGUGUAUUUAGCUGCUUUUUCCCUAAACACAACCAACUGAGAGAAACGCUUGUAGUCCUCACUUUGGUCAUUUUGAACGUUGAAGGAGAUUUGUUCCAUAGACACCUUAUACUAGUGUUCUAUUUAAAUUCAGAUUCCUUUUAUAGUUUGCAGUUUCUUUACUAACACAUUUGUAGAUAAGUUUAUUGCUGAACCACACAGCUAGCAGUCUCACUCACUCUCUAGGUUUUGAAGUUUUGUGUGUGAUGGUUUAGUCUAUCAAACCUUACCUUUUUCUCCCAGCAUCACAACAGUAUGACUCCCAAAGUACGGAUCAGUAAACAACCAAUGAUUCUAAAGCCAGAACAGAAAGAUACAGUUGGAAGAUGCAUGAUUGCAUUUUUAUGACGCAUAGUAAAACUACCCCCUCUUCUUCUUCUCUGUGUUGUUGUUGUUCUCGUGUGUGUGUGUGUGUGUGUGUGUGUGUGUGUGUGUGUGUGUGUGUCUUAGAAGUCAAAUAAUACAUUAGCCACACUUAAAAAAACAUCUGAAUUUCAUUUAGAACUGAGAUUCUAAGUUGUAAGCAGAAAUCUUAUGCUCAGCUACAAACAUGUUUCCCCACUUUCACAAUGCUGAGGUGUCAAAUCCACAACCCCCAACAGAUGCUUUGUUACACGCGGGUGUGAAGGGCAAGCUUUACUUACACAGCCUCACACACAGUAGAUUUUUUAAGUUUUUGGGGACAAUGGUUUAGCCACAGAUGUAACUUCUACUUUUGAUAAAGAUCACUCCACCUGUUUAUUUCUUAAGAAAUUAAGCAUCUUUAUUAAGCUCUCAUUUAUACAUGUCUACACAAUAAUAGACACCGUGUGCUCUGUGACAUUAUAGUCUUCUACUUCAGCGUUCAUUGGUUUGCAUUUUAAACUCCCAGCCUUUCAGGUUGUUAUGAACGACUUAUAU